UAACUACUCCCUUCGUUUGGAAUUACUUGUCGCAGAAAUGGAUGUAUCUAGACGUAUUUUAGUUUUAGAUACAUUCAUUUCCGAGACAAGUAAUUUCGAACGGAGGAACUACUUU
rnacentral:pre_miRNA from 1 species